ensembl:lncRNA MIATNB MIAT neighbor
CAUAUAUUGGCUGUGUCCAAGGUCAAAACCAAAACCCGAGCAACCACACCUGGUAUCAGGCAUUAGGGGUCAGUAUGUGACCAGGAGAGCCAGAGGGUGCCAGGUGAUUAAAAGUCGGUGUAUGGAGGAUGGAGUGGGAGAUGAAGGGCAAUGAAUGAAAAUGAAGCAAACAUCAUAUGUUUGAUAUGGUGAAAAGGAUGCUAAAAUUCCUCCCAUUGAGUUUGGGCAAAUCCUAUGGUUCUCUGUGAUAAGCCCUUUCUAUCCCCUUUCCCUACCAAAUCUUCCUGCUACAUUACACUCUGCUCCCUACCAGGGAGCUAAAUAGCAACCUGUGUAUUUCAUCUAGGUCGGUUACUUAACAAUCCUAAGGAAACUAUUUGAAUUUAAAUGACUGCCUUCUAGACACAACACAACAAUGAUAGCAAUAAAAAUAAUGACUUGUAAAUUAGUCAGCAUCAGCUGGGCUGCUGUAACAAACAACCCCAAAUCUCAUAAACAAACGUUAGUUUUCACCCCUCUGAAGUCCACUGUGGGCCUAGGCAGCUAUGGUCCAUGUGGUGACUCAGUGAUCCAGGCUUUUAAAAUUGUGUGCUUCUGCACUGCAAUUUGAGGACGCCUCAUUUGCUGUGUCAGGGGAGGAGAGAGAUUGGAAAACCUCAUGGGGACUGUACACUUCCUUGGCCUGAAGCGAUGCUCAUCACUUCCAUUCACAAAGCCAGUCAUAUGCCCCUUUAGCUGGAAGAGGGUAGGGAAAGCUAGUUUUCUGUGCAUCCAGGAAGGAUGAAUAUAAAACAGCAUUUAGUGAACACGUAAUUUUCUCUGUGUUGCAACGACCACUUCUUUUUAAAUAGGUACCACAAGACAAUUACUCUGCAGCGAUUUAUUUAAAUCAUCUCAAAGAUCCUUACAGGUGAGGAAACUGAGGCUUGGAGAAGUUGAAUGACUUGCCUAAAGUCACACAUAUAAUGGUAGAUCCAGAAUUAGAAGCCGUGGUUCUGUUUCACCAUAACCUGUGCCCCUCACUGUUCAGAUGAUGGAUCCUCAGACUCCGGGGGAGCUGUGGGGUAACUCCCUCCACCCUUCAGCUACAGCCUGGAAACCAUUGCCUUUUCUGCUCAUUGCAGCCAGGCCUGGAUCCAUGUGAGGAAACACACCUGCUGCCUCGGGAAUCCCAUACCAGUGAUGUGACACUCACAAAAGGCGAUCAAUGGUUCCUGACAAUUUUUUCUUUUCAUUUAGGCAAAAAAUAUGGAAAGCAUAUUUGAUCUUUGAUUUUCUUCCAUUUCCCAUCUGUUCUUUAUUAGGAGUUCAAACUUAAUAACCUUCCAGAGUUGGUAUCAAAUUCAGACGCUGACGCUCCUUGGAGAGGUUCUUUGCUGCAAGAGGAUGGAAAGGAUCACUGUGAUUUUGUUUUUCUCCUGCUGCUCUGUCUGGAAGCCAUGUGAGGAGGACAUCUGAGCAGCCCUGUGGAGAGGCCCCCAGCCAACAGCCAGCAUGAACUUGCUGGGCAUGUGAGUGCACCACCUUGAAAGUAGAGCCUCAACCCCUGGUCAAGCCAUCAGGGAGAGCUCAAGCUGGCCUGUUGGAAGAUGACAGGCCAUAUGCAACAGACGUGAAGUGUCCCAGCUGAUCCCCUUCCAGAACACCCACCUUCCAGAUGACCACAGAUGCAAGGGUGAGCCAGCCAAUAGCUGCUGAGACAUUCCCAGAAAGACAGAACAUCCAGCUGACCCAUGGACUCAUGGGCGAUCAUGGAUAAAUGGAUAUUGUUUCAAGCUA